GUGGGGAAUCUUCCGCAAUGGACGAAAGUCUGACGGAGCAACACCGCGUGAGUGAAGAAGGUUUUCGGAUCGUAAAGCUCUUUCGUUAGGGACGAACGUGCUCUUUGUGAAUAAUGAGGAGUAAUGACGGUACCUAAAUAAGAAGCCACGGCUAACUACGUGCCAGCAGCCGCGGUAAUACGUAGGUGGCAAGCGUUGUCCGGAAUUAUUGGGCGUAAAGCGCGCGCAGGCGGGAUAUCAAGUCUGUCUUAAAAGUGCGAGGCUCAACCUCGUGAGGGGACAGAAACUGGUAUUCUUGAGUGUCGGAGAGGAAAGUGGAAUUCCAAGUGUAGCGGUGAAAUGCGUAGAGAUUUGGAAGAACACCAGUGGCGAAGGCGACUUUCUGGACGAUGUCUGACGCUGAGGCGCGAAAGCUAGGGGAGCGAACGGGAUUAGAUACCCUUGUAGUCC
rnacentral:rRNA from 1 species